rnacentral:misc_RNA from 1 species
AAGUCGUAACAAGGUUUCCGUAGGUGAACCUGCGGAAGGAUCAUUAACACGUAUCCAACGUUAAACCCCCCGUGCACACAGCGACCUGCUCCCCUCAAUUUCGGUCUUUUGGCAAUCCCUGGUAAAUCAUCGCCAAACAGUUUUGAUUCUGGGACUUCCUCAAAGAGUGUGCAUGUUGCGCGAGGCAAGUGGCCUGGCAUUCCCAAGCAGUUAGUGUCUGAAAGUGUCAUUAGCUGUGUAAGGAUGACGCAGUCACGAUCGUUGGAGGCCGACACGGCCGACGACCGGGUCACUGGGCGAAAGCUCCUUUAUCACCCCUUUUAUGCAUGUCAGACGUGCCAGCCUUAAUUGAGCGGCAACAAAAAACCGAACAACUGUUAACAAUGGAUAUCUUGGUUCUC